rnacentral:lncRNA from 1 species
CCCACCAGAGUCGCCAGAGCUGUCACACCUCCUUUUUCCUACACCCCGAGAAAGAGUGUAAGAGAGUUUUUCCAAUUAAAGUGACAAUCGAAACGGGAUUGUUUUAUUUAAAAUUCAGAGUCGCCACUUGGGAUAAUUUAUGGUGUCCCAAGUCACCAGUUCAAAUCCUGAAUCGAGGAAAAGGUUGACUCUGUUUUACAGUCCGUGAACACAGAAAUCCGGGUAAGGAAUUCUGUUAACCCGGGAGAAGGUGUUAGGCAUUCCCGAGUUCCGUGGUUCUAGCACGGUCACUCAACUGUUAUUAUUGGCCUACUUAUCUAAUUUUAAAAACAUUUUUAUACCUAUGUGCUUUUUAACUCUUAAACCGCUUUUAUUCAUUUUAGGAAGAUUUCAACGUUAUACAAAACACGUCUUUGGAUCACGCCACAUGAAAUGCACCCGCGAUCCGCGACAUAUUUUAUUUAGUGUUGUUAGGAUUUGGAUUGGGUCACAUGAAAUGCACACCCGAGUUUAGGGAGGUAAUUUUAAGUUAUGCGGCUAAAGCAAACUACGAAAUUCAUUUUUAGUAUCUAAGUUAUAAAUAUGUGAGGGCCAUGAGCAAUUUAAUUAUGGAUGGCACACCUCAAUCUAUCCUUAAGGAAUCGUAAUUAUGUCACGCGAACGUGUCCACAAUCACGACGAUAUAUUAAUAAUGCGCCUGAAGGUUUGCCUACCCGGGUGUGGUGGGCCUAAACAUGCUCCUACCGAUUUUAGACAAGUAAAUAAAUAAAAGUAAUAAAAAUCAUCGCAUACCCAAAUAUUCAAUUCUAUCUACAAGCCUAUAGUCCAUUAUUUAAUUUGUUUGCUAAAUAACUCACAAAUCAAUACCAAUUUAUCACGAUUAUCCCCAACAUCCCAAUUACUGUCUCCAUUCAGCUUAAGCUUUAAUACAAAAAUUGUUGACAAUUAAAAUUUCAAACAAAGACAAGACUCAAAGAAAUGUGAAACGAAAAUUUGCAAAUCAUUCACAAAACAAUCAUUAAAGCAUGAAUUGCAAACAAAUACAAACAACUCACGGGAGAUAAACCAAAAAACAAAGGAAAGGGAAAGAAUGAACCUUAGAUGAAUCCCUCUUUUAUGUUGAAUAAUAGAACUCCAAAUCAAGUGCACAUCAACAAAGUUGCUUCAAGCUCACGAACCCGGACCGGAAAUCCCUCUACUCUGUUUUCUCUAUCUAUUUUCCGUGUGUGUGUAUAAUGAGUGUGUGUUUAUGUAUUUUCGAGAAUGAAGGGAGUGAAAACAUAAGAAGGAAUAUGUAAGAAAAUUUGAACCCAAGCGAUGAAGAAGAUCGGAGUUGCAGGUGGCGAACGACGUCCUCCGUUUUGUUGGACUGAAAAUUACCGUUCCACUCACUCUCGUCCCCUUCCCUAUGUGGAAUUUGGGUGCUUGCUGUUUGCUUAGUGUUUGUUCACCAGGUGGAAGCAAUUGAAGGUUAGCUAGUUAUGGUGGAACAUGGAAUUGUUGAAAGCAAGGUCUAAGGAGUCACUCUGCGGUGCUAGGGAUUCAUUUUCUC